AACGAACGCUGGCGGCAUGCCUAACACAUGCAAGUCGAACGAGACCUUCGGGUCUAGUGGCUCACGGGUGCGUAACGCGUGGGAACCUGCCCUUAGGUUCGGAAUAACUCCCCGAAAGGGGUGCUAAUACCGGAUAAUGUCUUCGGACCAAAGAUUUAUCGCCUUGGGAUGGGCCCGCGUUGGAUUAGCUAGUUGGUAGGGUAAAAGCCUACCAAGGCGACGAUCCAUAGCUGGUCUGAGAGGAUGAUCAGCCACACUGGGACUGAGACACGGCCCAGAAUCCUACGGGAGGCAGCAGUGGGGAAUAUUGGACAAUGGGCGAAAGCCUGAUCCAGCAAUGCCGCGUGAGUGAUGAAGGCCUUAGGGUUGUAAAGCUCUUUUACCCGGGAUGAUAAUGACAGUACCGGGAGAAUAAGCUCCGGCUAACUCCGUG
rnacentral:rRNA from 1 species